GAUGAAGAACGCAGCGAAAUGCGAUAAGUAAUGUGAAUUGCAGAAUUCAGUGAAUCAUCGAAUCUUUGAACGCACAUUGCGCCCGCCAGUAUUCUGGCGGGCAUGCCUGUUCGAGCGUCAUUUCAACCAUCAAGCCCUGCUUGCGUUGGGGUCCUGCGGCUGCCCGCAGGCCCUGAAAACCAGUGGCGGGCUCGCUAGUCACACCGAGCGCAGUAAUACAUCUCGCUUUGGGCGUGCGGCGGGUUCUUGCCGUUAAACACCCCCUUUUUACCAAGGUUGACCUCGGAUCAGGUAGGAAUACCCGCUGAACUUAAGCAUAUCUAUAAGCGGAGGA
rnacentral:misc_RNA from 1 species